rnacentral:tRNA from 1 species
GGUGUGUAGUUUAGUGGUAGAACACAUGCUUAGCAUGCAUGGAACCUCGGGUUUGUUCCCCCAACACUCCU